GUUUGACAUCUGAAAUUGGGAGACGUGAAGUUAGUAACCCUUGACAGUCAUGGUCCGGAUCCAUUGUUUCAUUGGCGGUUGCGAAAUGUGAGUAUUCUAAUACUGCUCUUUCUUCAUUGACGAGCUGGAAUACAGCUCCAGAGAAACGUCCCCUCAUCUGCUUUCUGCUUUCUGUACCUUGAUCGUCACUCUGUUCUGUAGCUGCAUGUGUCCUGUGGUAUGGAUGUGCCCAGUCUCCAACCGAUGGACAUUUGGGUUGAUUCAGCCAAAACAUCCACUAAGGGGUACCAUUUUGCCAGCCCUCACUCAGAAACCAUUCUUUGACGUUAUCUCUAUUUUCAACACAAAUCUCCAAGUUGUAAAUUUUAGUGCGAUGAUUCUCUGGCCCCUGUGCUUUCCUCUGUUCCAAGGCCACUAGCCACCAUGAGUUCUCCUCUAAGUCCGCCCUGGUUAAACGGCUCAAGAAUGGCCACUUCUCUGCCAGCCUUCGGAGAGGCCCAGGGCAAGGCUGGAAGGCCAUUCCCUGGAAGGCCGGGUGAGUUUCAGGUUCUCCCGUCACAGGGUGACAUUGUCAGGAGCUCCCGCCCCCCACGUGGAGAGGGGACUUUCCUGGAGGCCCCUCCAGCUGUGACUCACCAGCUCCUGAGCCCAAACCCGUCGGGGGAACUACAAAUGGAUUCUGGAGAACAGGGAGUGAAAGCCACCUCUGUGUGGGAGAGGAUGUUAUAAUAUCAGGCUGUCGCCAAAUUAACGUUAUUAAACAGAUGCACAAAAAUAGCAGCCAUAAUUAUUCCUAUACAGUAGCUCAAUCUGGAACUUUCCGUGCGUUUCCGUGCCCCCUAAACAUAGGGCUGUUGCUAUUCCUGCUCCUUUGGUUCUUCCUCCUUUCCUCUCUCUAAGAUGUUGCAGAGGAAAGAGCCCCACCUCCACCCCGCAAGCUCCCGGAACCUCUUUGUCGCCUUGGGAAAGAAGGAAAGGAUGAAGACUAAGGUUUCUUCAGUACCUGCUAUGUGCCAGGCCCCUUACAUAUGAAAUUCCACUUAAUCCUCGGAACAAUCUAAUGAAGGAAGUGCUGUUAUUCCCAUCAGACAGAUUAGCAAACUGAGUCCUAAAGAGGUCAUGUUAACCUAAUGGCCACUGGCUUGUAGAUAUGAAAGCCCAGGUUUGACCAACUCCAGAACGUUUGCCCUUUGCCAUUCUGCUCCACUGCUCCUCUGACGGGUAUCUCCCCAACCUCCUCCUCCACCUCUCUACGGACGCCUCCCAUCCAGGCACCUGCCCACAGCACCACGGCUUUUCGAGCUGGCUCUGUCCCAAGUGAGUCCCGUGUGUCCCUGCUCGUGGCCUGGCCACUGCCCCAGGUCAGCCCCAAGGCCAGGCUUGGGCCAGAGCCCCUUAUAGGGGAGCAGGGCAGGAGGGAAGGGGCCCACGCAGAGGCCGCCACGCUGGUGCGAGGACAGCAGGUCACGGCGGAAAGGCCAGAGCCUCAGAAAGUGGGGCCCAAGCCCAGCUCUGGUCACCAGGCCAGCUUGUCUGGCGAGGGUGGCCUCAUCGUCGAGGGAGAAGGUGCACUGCAUCACACAGGGCCGGUCCUCACGGCAGCAGCCUGGUCCUCGGUCAGACAGGUUGCCUCCCCUCUCAGAGCCCUGGGAGCACUGACGCCUGCCUCUACGUCACAUGUUAGAAACGUAACAGAGGAUUAUAGAGAAGGUGGGCACGUAGCCAUUGAGGGCCUUCCCGGGAGCCACGCUCCGGGAUGAGGACACCAGUGGUCAAACCCAGAUGCUGUCCCUUUGGGCUCAAGAAGCUCACAGGUGAGCAGAGCAGAGGAUGACGACGGCGACGAUGAUGAUGACAACUAUUAUUACCAAGUGGUGGACACUGUGAGCACCACCCGGCCCCGCCCUCCGUGAAGGACUUGUCAUCCCCGCAGCCAUCAGUCCCUUUCUUUGACCUGCAAUGACUGCCCCAGCUGGGAACCGCUCCCCCAGGCCAGCUCAGCUGCUCUGUGUGCAGCGCCCCCUUGGGGUCGAGGCUGGGCUGCUCCUCUGCCCGAUACCGCGCCAGGUGGACAAUUGCCAUCGCACCAGCUCUUUCUCUCCGUCGGCUUCCAGAGGAACGCGCAACAGGAUGUCACUGUAAUUAUAUAAGCGCUGAGCAAAUCAGGAUCCCGGGGCUGCCUGCAGGCAGGUGCCUCCCUGUCCAGGCAUCUCAGACAGCCUGCUCUUGAUGUCCCCGAUGUCAUUUGACUUUCCCCCUCAGAGCUGGCCCUGGAGCUGGACAACUCAGGUAGCCUAUGCUCUUUCCUGCUUCAAGCCACUGUGAUCUCCGGGUUUCUCGCUGACCUAAGUAGCCACACUAAAUAAACCGUGCUUGGCAGCUUCACAGCUGGGAA